AUUGAACGCUGGCGGCAUGCUUUACACAUGCAAGUCGAACGGCAGCACAGGGAGCUUGCUCCCGGGUGGCGAGUGGCGCACGGGUGAGUAAUACAUCGGAACGUGUCCUGUUGUGGGGGAUAACUGCUCGAAAGGGUGGCUAAUACCGCAUGAGACCUGAGGGUGAAAGCGGGGGAUCGCAAGACCUCGCGCAAUUGGAGCGGCCGAUGCCCGAUUAGCUAGUUGGUGGGGUAAAGGCUCACCAAGGCGACGAUCGGUAGCUGGUCUGAGAGGACGACCAGCCACACUGGGACUGAGACACGGCCCAGACUCCUACGGGAGGCAGCAGUGGGGGAAUUUUGGGACAAUGGGGGCAACCCUGAUCCAGCCAUGCCGCGUGCAGGAUGAAGGCC
rnacentral:rRNA from 1 species